AUUGAACGCUGGCGGCAUGCUUUACACAUGCAAGUCGAACGGCAGCACGGGAGCUUGCUUCUGGUGGCGAGUGGCGAACGGGUGAGUAAUGCAUCGGAACGUACCCAGUAGUGGGGGAUAGCCCGGCGAAAGCCGGAUUAAUACCGCAUAUUUCCUGAGGGAGAAAGCGGGGGACCUUCGGGCCUCGCGCUACUGGAGCGGCUGAUGUCGGAUUAGCUAGUUGGUGAGGUAAAGGCUCACCAAGGCGACGAUCCGUAGCUGGUCUGAGAGGAUGAUCAGCCACACUGGGACUGAGACACGGCCCAGACUCCUACGGGAGGCAGCAGUGGGGAAUUUUGGACAAUGGGGGCAACCCUGAUCCAGCCAUGCCGCGUGAGUGAAGAAGGCC
rnacentral:rRNA from 1 species